GGGCGAUUAGCUCAGGUGGUUAGAGCGCUGCUUUCACACGGCAGAGGCCACUGGUUCAAGUCCAGUAUCGCCCACCA
rnacentral:tRNA from 1 species